GAUGAAGAACGUAGCGAAAUGCGAUAAGUAAUGCGAAUUGCAGAAUUCAGUGAAUCAUCGAAUCUUUGAACGCACAUUGCGCCCGCUAGUAUUCUGGCGGGCAUGCCUGUCUGAGCGUCAUUUCAACCCUCGCCCCCGGCUUUUGCUGGGAGCGGUGUUGGGGAUCGGCCGCCCGUCACUGGGAGGCCGGCCCCGAAAUAGAGUGGCGACCACGCCGUGUGCUCCUCUGCGUAGUAGUAAAUCACCUCGCAGGCGGACAGCGGUGCGGCCUGCCGUAAAACCCCCAACUCUUUCUGGUUGACCUCAGAUCAGGUAGGAAUACCCGCUGAACUUAAGCAUAUCAAAAGCGGAGGA
rnacentral:misc_RNA from 1 species